UACGGAGGGUGCGAGCGUUGUCCGGAUUUAUUGGGUUUAAAGGGUGCGUAGGCGGCGCGCUAAGUCCGGGGUGAAAGCCCGCUGCUCAACAGCGGAGGUGCCCCGGAUACUGGCGGGCUUGAGUUGGGUCGAGGCCGGCGGAAUGGGCGGAGUAGCGGUGAAAUGCAUAGAUACCGUCCAGAACCCCGAUUGCGAAGGCAGCCGGCUGGGCCCACACUGACGCUGAGGCACGACAGCGUGGGGAGCGAACAGG
rnacentral:rRNA from 1 species